CCUACGGGAGGCAGCAGUGAGGAAUAUUGGUCAAUGGUCGGGAGACUGAACGAGCCAAGCCGCGUGAGGGAUGAAGGUACAGAGUAUCGUAAACCUCUUUUGUCAGGGAACAAAGGCGGGGACGUGUCCCCGGAUGAGUGUACCUGAAGAAAAAGCAUCGGCUAACUCCGUGCCAGCAGCCGCGGUAAUACGGAGGAUGCGAGCGUUAUCCGGUUUUAUUGGGUUUAAAGGGUGCGCAGGCGGUCUGUUAAGUCAGCGGUCAAAGCCCGGGGCUCAACCCCGGCCCGCCGUUGAAACUGGCAGUCUAGAGUUGGAGAGAAGUAUGCGGAAUGCGCGGUGUAGCGGUGAAAUGCAUAGAUAUCGCGCAGAACUCCGAUUGCGAAGGCAGCAUGCCGGCUCCACACUGACGCUGAGGCACGAAAGCGUGGGUAUCGAACAGGAUUAGAUACCCGUGUAGUC
rnacentral:rRNA from 1 species